UUUGUUAGGCUACUUAUGACAUGGCAGCUCACUCCCCAAGAAUCAGUAAACCAAGAGGGAGCAAAGCAGAAGUCUUUUGUGAUCCAGCCUCUGAUGUCACACUUCUUUGUGGUUGUAACAUCCUGUGGAGGAUGCAAGAUAGGGAGGACUGUCUAAGGUCAUGAAUGCCAGCGUGGGGCCAUCUUGGAGGCUGUGUGUCACAGCAAGCCUUAUAGAGUCAGCCAGCAAUGGAUUUGCACCAUCAAAUCCUACCGUAGUCAGAGAUAACAGAAGAAGCUGAAAAAUGAUGUUAGCCAAGCUGUCUCUCAAGAUUAAAACUGGGGAGGUCUGUCUAAUUCGAGAUGACGGAGAGACAUAGAAGAAGAGCAAAAGGGAAGAUGGAGGCCGAGAUAAGAGUGACCCUCUACCAGCCAAGAAGGACUAAGGACAGCUGGUGGCCACCUGAAGCCAGGAGAGAAACACUCAGAGCCUUCAGAAAGCACCAACCCUCACCGACACUCCGAUUUCAUGCUCUGGACUCCUCAAUUGUGGGAGAAUAGAUUUCCGUUAUUUAAAAUCAUUUGGUUUUUGGUCAUUUGCUGUGACAGCCUUAGGAAACUGAUGGAGAAUAAAAAUAAAAUCUUGGAAAUAUC